rnacentral:rRNA from 1 species
UACCGCAUACGUCCUACGGGAGAAAGCAGGGGACCUUCGGGCCUUGCGCUAUCAGAUGAGCUUAGGUCGGAUUAGCUAGUUGGUGAGGUAAUGGCUCACCAAGGCUACGAUCCGUAACUGGUCUGAGAGGAUGAUCAGUCACACUGGAACUGAGACACGGUCCAGACUCCUACGGGAGGCAGCAGUGGGGAAUAUUGGACAAUGGGCGAAAGCCUGAUCCAUAAGGGCCGCGUGUGUGAAGAAGGUCUUCGGAUU